GACGAACCUUGCUAACGUUAUUCGGAAUUACUGGGCUUAAAGAGCGCGCAGGCGGUCGUUCAAGUCGAGUGUGAAAGCCCCCGGCUCAACUGGGGAGGGUCACUCGAUACUGAUCGACUCGAAGGCAGGAGAGGGAAGUGGAAUUCCCGGUGUAGUGGUGAAAUGCGUAGAUAUCGGGAGGAACACCAGUGGCGAAGGCGACUUCCUGGCCUGUUCUUGACGCUGAGGCGCGAAAGCUAGGGGAGCAAACGGG
rnacentral:rRNA from 1 species